UCACACCACGUUCAUUUGGUUCAACUGACUGAACUCCUGCGGGCACCACGGGGGCUGCUGGGUGCGUGGAAACGACCAGUAUGUGUGGAGACGAUGCCUGCUUUCAGGAGACCCACACCUGGCUAUUUCCGGCUGGUUCUCUAGCCCUUUGUUCACAGCCCGCUCAGCAACACCGGCAUGACGGCAGGAGGUCAGCGCGGGCUUACAAGGCUGCCAAGAUUUCGACAGUUACUGACUGAGGACCUACUACAAGUCAGGCAUUAGGAAAAACCCGUGAACGACACGGCUGCCAACUUCAUCUUCAAAAACCUUACAGGACAUCUGGUUUACCUGCAGUACAAGUCUCAUCAGCCGGAUGAGUCCCUCAGUGAGACACAGCAAAUGUACCCCCCACACCGGGCCUGCACACCUCCACCAUCUCACGGCAACCCUACUCGAGAAUCCACCACCUACCCUCUCUGUUAGGGACUUGAAGAGUUUAUUAAGUAGUUUAACCUUUUAAAUCUUUGAUGGCCCCAUCCCAUUCUCUUGUCUCGCCCUUUUUAGAUCACAGAUCCCAGCCACUUUCCUGACUCCAGGGCUGGACAAGCCCUAGUAAUUCCACCAUCCUGAACCUCAUCAUUUCUCCGUGGAAAUGGAACCUAAACCAGUUUAAUGAGUCUUCAUGCUGAGUCCCUGCUGGAGCGGAUGAGGAGACCUCCCUGCUUGGUGACGGAGAGCCUUCAGAUGGGACCCGGAGAUGGAGACGGGACAAAAAGAUGCAGCUUCCAGAGCUGCUGACGUGCAGCCUUCAGUCCUGGGAGGUGCCCCCCAAAGCCUGCCUCCUCACCUCAAAGGCUAAUAAACUGUCACCGAUACUAGAAAAUUUCUAAUAAAUAUAAAUAUAUUUCUCAAAUUGGGAACAUUAUUCUUAGUGGUAUUUGUAGCUGAGCUGGAAGUAGAUAUGAAAUUGGGUGGAGUUACAUUGUAACUGGACAGCAUUUCCCUCUGUUAACCAUAAGCAAAAGUAUAUGUCCUCAGGUGAACAAAGAUAAAAAUGUACUAAUCUAAAACAGAAUUUUUUAGCAUAGCAAUUUUUUAGCAUAAAAAACCUAUGUUGGAACAUCAUCC